rnacentral:rRNA from 1 species
AUUGAACGCUGGCGGCAUGCCUUACACAUGCAAGUCGAACGGCAGCACGGGUGCUUGCACCUGGUGGCGAGUGGCGAACGGGUGAGUAAUACAUCGGAACGUACCUUAUCGUGGGGGAUAACGCAGCGAAAGCUGUGCUAAUACCGCAUACGCCCUGAGGGGGAAAGCGGGGGAUCGAAAGACCUCGCGCGAUUAGAGCGGCCGAUGCCUGAUUAGCUUGUUGGUGGGGUAAAAGCCCACCAAGGCGACGAUCAGUAGCUGGUCUGAGAGGACGAGCAGCCACAGUGGGACUGAGACACGGCCCAGACACCAACGGGAGGCAGCAGUGGGGAGUUUUGGACAAUGGGGGCAACCCUGAUCCAGCAAUGCCGCGUGAGUGAAGAAGGCCUUGGAGUUGUAAAGCUCUUUUGUCAGGGAAGAAACACCGGCUCUAACACAGUCCGGGAAUGACGGUACCUGAAGAAUAAGCACCGGCUAACUACGUGCCAGCAGCCGCCGUAA